rnacentral:rRNA from 1 species
GAACGCUUUGUGGUUAACUGAUUUGAAGAGCUUGCUCAGAUAUGACGAUGGACAUUGCAAAGAGUGGCGAACGGGUGAGUAACACGUGGGAAACCUACCUCUUAGCAGGGGAUAACAUUUGGAAACAGAUGCUAAUACCGUAUAACAAUAGCAACCGCAUGGUUGCUACUUAAAAGAUGGUUCUGCUAUCACUAAGAGAUGGUCCCGCGGUGCAUUAGUUAGUUGGUGAGGUAAUGGCUCACCAAGACGAUGAUGCAUAGCCGAGUUGAGAGACUGAUCGGCCACAAUGGGACUGAGACACGGCCCAUACUCCUACGGGAGGCAGCAGUAGGGAAUCUUCCACAAUGGGCGAAAGCCUGAUGGAGCAACGCCGCGUGUGUGAUGAAGGGUUUCGGCUCGUAAAACACUGUUGUAAGAGAAGAAUGACAUUGAGAGUAACUGUUCAAUGUGUGACGGUAUCUUACCAGAAAGGAACGGCUAAAUACGUGCCAGCAGCCGCGGUAAUACGUAUGUUCCAAGCGUUAUCCGGAUUUAUUGGGCGUAAAGCGAGCGCAGACGGUUAUUUAAGUCUGAAGUGAAAGCCCUCAGCUCAACUGAGGAAUUGCUUUGGAAACUGGAUGACUUGAGUGCAGUAGAGGAAAGUGGAACUCCAUGUGUAGCGGUGAAAUGCGUAGAUAUAUGGAAGAACACCAGUGGCGAAGGCGGCUUUCUGGACUGUAACUGACGUUGAGGCUCGAAAGUGUGGGUAGCAAACAGGAUUAGAUACCCUGGUAGUCCACACCGUAAACGAUGAGUGCUAGGUGUUUGAGGGUUUCCGCCUCUAAGUGCCGCAGCUAACGCAUUAAGCA